rnacentral:rRNA from 1 species
GAUGAACGCUGGCGGCGUGCCUAACACAUGCAAGUCGAACGGAGAUUACGGACGGAAGUUUUCGGAUGGAAGACUGUAAUUCUUAGUGGCGGACGGGUGAGUAACGCGUGGGCAACCUGCCCUAUACAGGGGGAUAGCAGCUGGAAACGGCUGGUAAGACAGCAUAAGUCGGCGAGACCGCAUGGUUUUGCCGGGAAAUGAGCAAUCAGGUAUAGGAUGGGCCCGCGUCCGAUUAGCCAGUUGGCAGGGUAAAAGCCUACCAAAGCAACGAUCGGUAGCCGGACUGAGAGGUCGGACGGCCACAUUGGGACUGAGACACGGCCCAAACUCCUACGGGAGGCAGCAGUGGGGGAUAUUGCACAAUGGAGGAAACUCUGAUGCAGCGACGCCGCGUGAGUGAAGAAGUAUUUCGGUAUGUAAAGCUCUAUCAGCAGGGAAGAUGAUGACGGUACCUGACUAAGAAGCCCCGGCUAACUACGUG